rnacentral:rRNA from 1 species
GCAUAUCAAUAAGCGGAGGAAAAGAAACCAACAGGGAUUGCCCUAGUAACGGCGAGUGAAGCGGCAACAGCUCAAAUUUGAAAUCUGGCCCUAGUGGUCCGAAUUGUAAUUUGUAGAGGAUGCUUUGGGCGCGGUGCCUUCCGAGUUCCCUGGAACAGGACGCCUUAGAGGGUGAGAGCCCCGUACGGUUGGACACCAAGCCUAUGUAAAGCUCCUUCGACGAGUCGAGUAGUUUGGGAAUGCUGCUCUAAAUGGGAGGUAAAUUUCUUCUAAAGCUAAAUACCGGCCAGAGACCGAUAGCGCACAAGUAGAGUGAUCGAAAGAUGAAAAGUACUUUGAAAAGAGGGUUAAAUAGCACGUGAAAUUGUUGAAAGGGAAGCAUUUAUGACCAGACCUUUGCUAGGUGGAUCAUCCGGUGUUCUUCACCGGUGCACUUCGCCUAGCUUAGGCCAGCAUCGAUUUCUGUAGGGGGAUAAAGGUCUAGGGAACGUAGCUCUCUUCGGAGAGUGUUAUAGCCCUGGGCGUAAUACCCUUACGGGGAUCGAGGUUCGCGCUUCGGCAAGGAUGCUGGCAUAAUGGUCAUCAAUGACCCGUCUUGAAACACGGACC